rnacentral:rRNA from 1 species
GACGAACGCUGGCGGCGUGCUUAACACAUGCAAGUCGAACGGUGAAAGCGGAGCUUGCUCCGCUGGAUCAGUGGCGAACGGGUGAGUAACACGUGGGCAACCUGCCCUUCACUUCGGGAUAACUCCGGGAAACCGGGGCUAAUACCGGAUAAGACCUCUGCGGGCAUCCGCGGAGGUGGAAAGUUUUUCGGUGAAGGAUGGGCCGGCGGCCUAUCAGCUUGUUGGUGAGGUAGUGGCUCACCAAGGCGACGACGGGUAGCCGGCCCGAGGGGGCCACAGGCCACGCUGUGACGAGGACACGCCCCAGACUCCUACGGGAGGCAGCAGUGGGGAAUAUUGCGCAAGGGGCGAAAGCCUGACGCAGCAACGCCGCGUGCGGGAUGACGGCCUUCGGGUUGUAAACCGCUUUCAGCAGGGAAGAAGCCGCAAGGUGACGGUACCUGCAGAAGAAGCACCGGCUAACUACGUGCCAGCCGCCGCGGUAA